rnacentral:rRNA from 1 species
AGCUCCAAUAGCGUAUAUUAAAGCUGUUGCGGUUAAAAAGCUCGUAGUUGGAUUUCUGUCAAGGACAACUGGUCCGCCCACCGGGUGAGCACAUAGUUUGGUCUUGGCAUCUUGCUGGAGACUGUACUGUGCUUGGCUGUACGGCACAGUGUCCAGCACUUUCACUUUGAGGAAAUUGGAGUGUUUCAAGCAGGCUCAUGCCUUUGGACACAGUAGCAUGGAAUAAUUUGAUUGGGCUUCUGCUCCAAUUUGUCGGUUUCUGGAGCUGAGGUGAGAAUUAAUGGGGAUUGUUGGGGGCAUCCGAAUUUAGCCGUCAGAGGUGAAAUUCUUGGAUCAGCUAAAGACGGACGACUGCGAAAGCGUUUGCCCAAGAUGUUUUCAUUGAUCAAGAACGAAAGUA